CUGCCUUUGGCAGCCUGCGCGUUACACUGACACACCAGCAGUUCUUCCUUGGUAGAAAUACCUGGGUAAUCUUGUUAAACUGUGUCGUGCUGGGGAUAGAGCAUUGCAAUUAUUAUUGCUCUUCAACGAGGAAUCCCUAGUAAGCGUAAGUCAUCAACUUGCGUUGAUUACGUCCCUGCCCUUUGUACACACCGCCCGUCGCUACUACCGAUUGAAUGGCUCAGUGAGGCGUUCGGACUGGCCAGAGGAGUCGGCAACGACACCUCAGGGCCGGAAAGUUCUCCAAACUCGGUCAUUAGAGAAGUAAAAGUCGUAACAAGGUCUCCUCCGUUGCUGCAUCG
rnacentral:rRNA from 1 species